GGGCCCAUGGCGCAGUUGGUAGCGCGCUUCGUUCGCAAUGAAGAGGUCGCGGGUUCGAAUCCCGCUGGGUCCA
rnacentral:tRNA from 1 species